UUUGAGAGAUGCGCUGGGAAACCCAGCUCAUUGCAUCCACCUGUGUGCCUCUCAGUGCUGUGCUUGCUCUCAUAUUUCUGCUGCAGAUGGACAAGCGGGAGUUAAGGCAUCUCUGCUAUUUGCCUACUAAACACUUCCCAUGUGUGGUCCCAUUUAAUCUUCACACCAGUCAGAUGAAUGCAACAUCAUCUGUCCCCUUUUAUUGAUGAGGGAACCAAAGCUCCUAGAGGUCAAGUCCUUGACCAGCUUCCCCCAGCACAUCAGGAAUGAAGCUAGGAUUUCUCCUAGCAUGGGCCUACACUUCUCCUAGCCUCUUCACUCCUGGCCACACCCUGCUACUUGGCUUUUAUCUUGGUAUUUAUUUCUCGAUGCCAGGAGUAGAAUAGGAGCUUAGGAAUGGUUCGGAUGUCUGAGUUAUUAAUUUUCAUCCUCUCUCUACCUCAUCUUCUUCUUGUUCUCAGGGUGGGCUUGCAGAGUUGUAACUGAGCAGGACCCUGGGAGGCCUUCCUAGAGAGGACCCGUGCUCAUGUCUUCCACCUGCGUUUUUAUCUAUAGAAAGACUUUAGUCAAAGAAUCAAUUGAAUCAGAUAAGGGAGAAAAUACAGAGAAAAGGAAAACGGUCAAGAAAGACAGAGUAAUAAUAAUUUAGCCAUUCAACAAAGUCAAGGACCUUCAGUUCUUAUUAAAAAACUAUAGAUAAUAUUCUGAGCCAUGUCCUUGGAGCUGUUUUGCAGGUGCCGAAGCCCCCACCAGAUGGAAGAAGUCCCCUAUGUGCUGCCCACAAGCAUGUAGAUCCCAGACAGGUUGAAAUCGAAAGGUUGAUGACACUGACUCCCAAUCUUCUCCCCACACACCAAUCAGGAAAAUGUCCAGGAGCUGAUCUAGAGCCCUGCUCCCUGAACACUACAAACCUCCUCACUACCCUCUUCAAGGGGAGCACAGUCCUCGAGGAACUAUCCUUCUGUUCCCUUCUAUGCCUGAUAAUUCUAGCUACUUUUGUCUUUCCUCCAACUCUGUCUCUGUGUUUUUAUUUGGCAUCAGUGUACAAAGGCAGGCGAGAUUUCAGCAACAAGGUGAGGGGAAAGAGUUCUGUCCCUGGAGUCCCGAUCCCACAGACACUAAAGAAAUUCCAGUCCUUGGCUGGACACCUGUUCUUUUUUGCCACUUGGAACAUCUCCAAUGAGGAAUGGGAUGCUGAGAUUUCGGAACGUUGAUAGCCCAAGGUGGACACUUCCUCCCUGUCUCCUCUGCUCCAGACCUGAAUGACAUUGGGGCCACUGUCCAAUGACCAGGGGAAUAGCUCUGCCCACCAGAAUAUCCUUUCCCUUGGCCAGAACUAUGUUUUCUUCAAAGAGUUUUACAGUUUCAGGUCUUACAUGUUAGCCUUUAAUUCAUUAGGAGUUUAUUUUUUUAAUAUGGUGUGAGAAAAUGGUCUGGUUUAAUUCUUUUACAUAUAGUUGUCCAGUUUUCCCACACCACUUAUUGAAGAGACCAUCUUUUCCCCAUUGUAUAUUAUUGCUUCGUUUGUCAUAAAUUAAUUGACCACAUGCACAUGAGUUUAUUUCUGGGAUUUCUAUUCUGUUCCAUUGAUCUAUAUGGCUGUUUUUAUAUCAGUACCAUACUAUUUUGAUUGUUAUAACUUUGUAGUAUAGUUUGAAAUCAGGGUGCUUGAUACUUCUGGCUUUAGUUUUCUUUCUCCAGAUUGAUUUGGAUAUUUGGGAUCUUUUGUGGGUUACAUUCAAAUUUUAGAAUUAUUUGUUCUACUUCGGUGAAAAAUACCAUGGGAUUACACUGAUUAUGCAGAUUUAUUUGAGUAUGAACAUUUUCACAAUACUACUCUUCCAAUCCAUGAACACAGAAUAUACUUCCAUUUGUUUGUAUUGUCUUCAGUUUCUUUCACUGAUGUCUUACAGUUUUCAGAGUGUAAGACUUUCACCCCUGAGAUUAAAUUUAUUCCUAGGUAUUUUAUUCUCUUUAGUGCAAUUUUAAAUGAGAUUAUUUUUCUUGAUUUCCCAUUGUGAUAGUUCAUUAUUAGUAUAUAGAAAUGCAACAGAUUUCUGUAUAUUAAUUUUUAAUCCUGCAACUUUAUUUAAUUCAUUUCUCUCGGAGUCUUUAGGGUUUUCUCUAUAUAGUAUCAUGUCAUAUGCAAAUAGUGACAGUUUUACAUCUUCCCUUCUAAUUUGAGUGCCUUUUUAUUUAUUUUCUUCUCUAAUUUCUAUGGCUAGGGCUUCCAAUGCUAUGUUGAAUAAUAGUGGUGAGAGAGGGCAUCUUUUUCUUGUUUCCGAUAUCAGAGGCAAAGCUUUCAGUUUUUUGCCACUGAGUGUAAUGUUAGCUGUGGGUUUAUUAUAAAUGGCUUUUAUUAUGUUGAAGUAUGUUUCCUGUAUACCAAUUUUAUUGAGAGAUUUUAUAAUAAAUAGAUACUGAAUUUGGUCAAAUACUUUUCUGCCUCUAUUAAGAUGAUCAUAUGAUUUUUAUCCUUUGUUUUGUUAAUGUGCUGUAUCACAUUGAUUGAUUGUAGUUUGAACCAUCCUUGAUUCCCUGAAAUAAAUCCCACUUGAUCAUGAUGUAUGAUCUUUUUUUUUUUUUUUUGUCUUUUUGCUAUUUCUUGGGCCGCUCCCGUGGCAUAUGGAUGUUCCCAGGCUAGGGGUCGAAUCAGAGCUGUAGCCACCGGCCUACGCCAGAGCCACAGCAACUCGGGAUCCGAGCCGCGUCUGCAACCUACACCACAGCUCACGGCAACGCCGGAUCGUUAACCCACUGAGCAAGGGCAGGGACCGAACCCGCAACCUCAUGGUUCCUAGUCGGGUUCGUUAACCACUGCGCCACGAUGGGAACUCCAUAUGAUCCUUUUAAUGUAUUGUUGAAUUUUGUUUGCUAAUAUUUUGCGGAGGAUUUGUGCAUUUAUAUUCAUAGGUAUAUUAGCCUGUAAUUUUCUUUUUGGAGUGUCUUUGUCUAGUUUUAAUAUCAGGGAAAUGUUGGCCUCCUGGGGUGAAUUUGAAAGUGUUCCUUCCCCUUCAAUUUUUUUACAAUAGUUUGAGAAGAAUAGCACUAACUUUUCCUUAGAUGUUUGGUAGAAUUCCUCUGUAAAGCAACUGGCCCUGGACUUUUGUUUGUUAGGAGUUUUUUGAUUACUGAUUCCAAUUCAUUAGAACUAAUAGGUCUUUUCAGAUUUUCUGUUCUUCCUGAUUCAGUCUUAGAAUAUAUUAUGUUUCAACAAUUUAUACAUUUCCUCUAGGUGGUUCAAUUUUUUGCAUAUAAUUGUUUAUAGUGGUCUAUAAUGAUUAUAUUUCUUAUGUGUAUCAGUGUUUUCUUAUGCCCAUUCCUUGAGCCUCAGUUUCCAUGUGGUGAUGUGAAGAAGAUCGGAUGAUACCUGACAUUUGUGGGUUGCAUUAUGGAGAGGAGCCCUGAGCUCUAGGAAAUGGUAUCUUUUUAAGUGAAUUGUAUGUGAACCUGCCCUCUGCUUUAGAGUGGAACACUAUCUCUAUCUUCCAAGUUGUUCCUAUGCAAAUAUCCUUGAAAAGAUGGUUUGGAGCAAAGGCAGUCAGUGUCUCUGCUCACAAAAUGUGCAGAAACGAGAGACCCGUGGAGACUUAUCUCCCAACAAGGGCAAGAUGUAUUGUAAGUGCUAAGUAUCAGCCAUGAUGAGGAUGGUGGUGGUGUGUGCAUUUUGCUUCAGCAUGGAAAGACUUCUCUUUGAUCUCUUAACAUGACUUCUGCCCUUGAUGCCUUUAGUUAUGCAUAUCCCCCCUUUUCCCCAUCUCCUAUCUAAAUAUUCCAUUUCCAGUUCUAGCAUCUCCAGUACAUCUUUCCUGACCACCCUUGUUCAAAUGGUGCUUUACUUUCUAAACACUGACACUGUCAUUUAUCCCAUUCUCUCAGCACUUAGCAAAUACUAUAUCCCUCAGCCCAAGAUCUUCGCAAAUCUCUUUUCUUCACUUGGUAUUCCUGCUGAUCUCUCUUCAGAUUAACUCCACUUCAUUCUUUAUUCAUUAGCUUUGUUGAUAUUUCCUUCAGAAAGCAUUCUUGAUCUCUCCUGUACCCAGCUGGAAUUAGGGGGCCUCCAUUUGCGCCUGUGCCAUCAGUGAUGAUCUCUAAGUGACAUUUCUUUGUGGCUUUCCCUCAAGACUUGGAAGUUCUGGAGGCCCUUCUAUGCCUAGCAUCUACUGUAAUGUCUGGCACAUAGAGUCAUUUAAUUAACAUUAACAUUUGAAUGAAUACAUUCAUGAAUGUAUGAAUACCCAUAUGACAUGUUCAUGCAAAUUUAUCAAACAAAAACAAAUAUAACCACAUUGGAAGCUCCUGGAAAGGAUCCAGUGGUCACAGACACAUUGGUAGUUGUUUAAUAUCUAUGGAUUGAUAGAUAAGACAUGCAAUUUGUCACUAUGCUGCCUUUCAGGUGUGUCAAUUUCAUUUUGCUUUAAAGGAUAUCUGCAAUUGGACCUCUAUUUGAGAACAUAGAACGUAUAUUAUCAAAAGUAUUAUUCAUUCUGACUUUACAUAAGGGAAAAUUCUUGUAAGUUUCGCCAAAGCAAUUUAAAAACCAUAAACUUCAUGCUCCUUUAACUUAGUAAAUAUCAACCUCAUUUCAUCCUUAAUAGUUUACAAAAUCAACACUAGUUUAAACUAAUAUUCUGUUUAUAGCAUUCAUGGCAAGUUUCAAAUUGCAAGUGCAUUUUUACAGUGGCUUUUGAAGGUUGAUAUUGGAAAGAAUGACAGAAUAGUCGCCCUGAAACCUGGAGCAGAGUUUGAGGCUAGCUCCUUGUUUUUCCAUAAUAUGUUAAAAUUAUACAAAGAAUGGGGAACUUGGGAACUCAACCCAAAGGAUGUGGACCCUCAGGACACUUAGGGAGAGAUCACAGUGAUUAAAAGCUAGCCCUCUGGGGACAAAUGAACCUGCCUUUGAAUCCUGCUUCUCUUAAUGACUGAGCCUCAGUUUCUUCAUUUUUAAAAGCAGGAAACUAUGACACACACCAUAGGACUGUCAGGAAAAUUAAAUGAGGUAAUACAUGCUUAAAAAAUUUUGCACAGUAUGUGGUACCCAGUAAGCUCUUAAUAGAUGUUAGCUCUUUUCAUUAUUAUUACUAAUAUUAUAGCCAAAAAGACCCGGAUUUGUAGCCACUGGAUUUUGUAUCCGAGGCAGUAACAGCUACAUUCUGAGCAUCUCAAAUAAAGUGACCCAAGGAGUUAUUUAACUUUCCUAAGGCUUCGUUUCCUCAUCUAUAAAAUGGAGGCAAUAAUAAUACCAUAGCGUUGAUGUGAUGAUAAAUUAGCAGAUGACAUGUAAUGUGCUUAAGAAAUGUGUGGCAUAUGGUAAACACUCAGUAACUGUUAGGUAGAAAAAGAAUGAUGAUAAUUAUAUUCGCUGAAUCUCUUUUUUUUUCAUUCGCAAAUCAGAGACUGAUGGUAUUGCUACAAGGUUGUAAAAGUGGGAAAUGAUAUUUACAAAGCACCUAACCCAACAGCAGAUACAUACCAAGUAGGUACUCAAGAGAUGGAAGCUAUUGUUUCUGGCUCCUCUUCCUGCCUUUGCCUGGUUUCUAGCUCUGGAUCAAUAGGUGCAGCAAUUUAGGUUUGGGGGGCAUCUGUGACAGCCCUGAGUGGGGGUGAGGGUACCAGUUGGAAACUGCAACCUGGAAGUGAACUUCCCUAAUCAGCGCUGCAGGAUUCCAACAGCUGGUUCUACUUUGGAAUCAAUUGGAACCUCCUGGGCCCCUUGCUCUUUUUCUGCAAGGAGCAAAUGCCAUCCCACAGCUAAGAUUUAGAAAUUUGCCACGCCAUAUCAGAAACAGAUCCAGCCUCUGGCAGGGUCAAGGUUCCCCAGGCUGAGGCCCCAGCUCUGGAGCCCCUGCAACCUUCCUGGUGGCCCUGGAGGCUGAGAGGCUCUGGCCUGAGGUCAAGGCUGCCUGUGUACUGCCAGCAGGCACUAUCCUGUCGCUGGCAGUUAGGAACUGCCACCCAAACUCCAAACUGCCCAGAUUUCCAUUUCAAAGAGUGAGUCAAGUUCGGAUGUGGAGAGCCCGUUAAACAACAAUUUUUAGGAUAUGAGUAUUAGAGUGCAGCAGCAAGAAUGCAUUUGAUUUGGAAAGGAACUACUUCCUAAAUGCCUGCCUUGUAAUUUCUUCCAUCUGUCCACAUUUCUGGUGGGCCCUUGAGGGUAUUUUGGCCUCCAGGGUGGCCAGCACUGGCCCUGGGUGCUGUAGGUACCAGAGGAUGUUGGUGAAUGGCCUUUGUCACCACUGCCUGAGGCUUGAUGAGUCAUGAGGUGAAUAAGCAGCAGGCUUGAGUGGAGUGCCAACACUGAAUCUACCAGCUGUGUGACCUCAGGAAAAUCCCUUGUCUUCUCUGAGCUUUCAUUUCCUGAUUUGAAGAAUGAAGGCAGGGCUACAUGGUCUUGAAACUCCCUUGCAGCACUUUGAUUUUCAGAUUCCAAGUGUUCACAGAUGCUAUAAUGGCUCAAAU
rnacentral:lncRNA from 1 species